GAUGAAGAACGUAGCGAAAUGCGAUAAGUAAUGUGAAUUGCAGAAUUUAGUGAAUCAUCGAAUCUUUGAACGCACAUUGCGCCCGCCAGCAUUCUGGCGGGCAUGCCUGUUCGAGCGUCAUUUCAACCCUCGACCUCCCCUUGGGGAGGUCGGCGUUGGGGACCGGCAGCACACCGCCGGCCCUGAAAUGGAGUGGCGGCCCGUCCGCGGCGACCUCUGCGCAGUAAUACAGCUCGCACCGGGACCCCGACGCGGCCACGCCGUAAAACACCCAACUUCUGAACGUUGACCUCGAAUCAGGUAGGACUACCCGCUGAACUUAAGCAUAUCAAUAAGCGGAGGA
rnacentral:misc_RNA from 1 species